rnacentral:rRNA from 1 species
AUUGAACGCUGGCGGCAGGCUUAACACAUGCAAGUCGAGCGGAGAUGAGGUGCUUGCACCUUAUCUUAGCGGCGGACGGGUGAGUAAUGCUUAGGAAUCUGCCUAUUAGUGGGGGACAACAUUCCGAAAGGAAUGCUAAUACCGCAUACGCCCUACGGGGGAAAGCAGGGGAUCUUCGGACAUUGCGCGAAUAGAUGAGCCUAAGUCGGAGUAGCUAGUUGGUGGGGUAAAGGCCUACCAAGGCGACGAUCUGUAGCGGGUCUGAGAGGAUGAUCCGCCACACUGGGACUGAGACACGGCCCAGACUCCUACGGGAGGCAGCAGUGGGGAAUAUUGGACAAUGGGCGGAAGCCUGAUCCAGCCAUGCCGCGUGUGUGAAGAAGGCCUUUUGGUUGUAAAGCACUUUAAGCGAGGAGGAGGCUACCUGGAUUAAUACUCUAGGAUAGUGGACGUUACUCGCAGAAUAAGCACCGGCUAACUCUGUGCCAGCAGCCGCCGUAAUAC